UCUGGAGCCUAGAGGACUGUGUACCAGAAUCUGGGAGAAACUGAAAGCUACCGUUUGGCAAAAGGCAGAGGUCUGUACAUCGGCUAGUAAGCUGGAUCAGCUGCUUACAAGUUCAGGUCCAUCCCACAGUUCUCUCCUUCUAGAGCUGGUUGCUGCCUGAAGUUAAUUCUGUUUUCCAAAACUGUCCUGGAUACAGAGAACAGUCAGAUAUGGUUUGUCCCUCAGGAAGACUCAGCACAAUGAAGAAAGACAAAGAAACACGGUGUGAAUUAAAGAAGCAGCCAAAGAAUGCCGCCAGGUGGCAGUGUGUGAGACCACUGGGAUUUCCUUCCUGCAGCAAGAGCGACAAUGGAAAAACACCACUAUGUUGAAGCUCAGCUAGAACGUGACAACCGGCUUCCGA